AAAUCCAGCCAAUUAGGAUGCAGUUUUAAUAUCUGAAGGAGAUAAACAGGGAAACAACAUCCAGCAGCCAAUCAUCAGUAGUCAGGUCACUCAGAAUUAACCAAUCAGGUGACAGGUUGAGGUGUAGGACGUUCGCGGGUUUUCUUCCCCCUCAGUCGCCUCCGGCACUUCAUCCAGAUUUGAUGUUCAACUUCCAGAGAGAAAUUAAUGUUGAGAAAAAUCUUAUAAAGGUCAUGAACUAGCAAGAUGUCAGACAUGGUCCAGCAUGAUGUCAGACAUGGUCCAGCAUGAUGUCAGACAUGGACCAGUAUGAAGCCAGUCAUGGACCAGUAUGUCUGUCAUGGACCAGUAUGAUGUCAGUCAUGAACCAGUAUGAUGUCAGUCAUGGACCAGUAUGAUGUCAGUCAUGGACCAGUAUGAUGUCAGUCAUGGACCAGUAUGAUGUCAGUCAUGGACCAGUAUGAUGUCAGUCAUGGACCAG